rnacentral:rRNA from 1 species
UGGCGGACGGGUGAGUAAUGUCUGGGAAACUGCCCGAUGGAGGGGGAUAACUACUGGAAACGGUAGCUAAUACCGCAUAACGUCGCAAGACCAAAGAGGGGGACCUUCGGGCCUCUUGCCAUCGGAUGUGCCCAGAUGGGAUUAGCCAGUAGGUGGGGUAACGGCUCACCUAGGCGACGAUCCCUAGCUGGUCUGAGAGGAUGACCAGCCACACUGGAACUGAGACACGGUCCAG